UACAGAGGGUGCAAGCGUUAAUCGGAAUGACUGGGCGUAAAGCGUGUGUAGGUGGUUGGAUAAGUUAGAUGUGAAAUCCCCGGGCUUAACCUGGGAACUGCGUUUAAAACUGUUCAGCUAGAGUACUGUAGAGGAUAGUGGAAUUUCCAGUGUAGCGGUGAAAUGCGUAGAUAUUGGAAGGAACACCAGUGGCGAAGGCGACUAUCUGGAUAGAUACUGACACUGAGACACGAAAGCGUGGGGAGCAAACAGG
rnacentral:rRNA from 1 species